GUGAACGCUGGCGGUAGGCCUAACACAUGCAAGUCGAACUGCAGCACAGUAAGAGCUUGCUCUUACGGGUGGCGAGUGGCGGACGGGUGAGGAAUACAUCGGAAUCUACUUUUUCGUGGGGGAUAACGUAGGGAAACUUACGCUAAUACCGCAUACGACCUACGGGUGAAAGCAGGGGAUCUUCGGACCUUGCGCGAUUGAAUGAGCCGAUGUCGGAUUAGCUAGUUGGCGGGGUAAAGGCCCACCAAGGCGACGAUCCGUAGCUGGUCUGAGAGGAUGAUCAGCCACACUGGAACUGAGACACGGUCCAGACUCCUACGGGAGGCAGCAGUGGGGAAUAUUGGACAAUGGGCGCAAGCCUGAUCCAGCCAUACCGCGUGGGUGAAGAAGGCCUUCGGGUUGUAAAGCCCUUUUGUUGGGAAAGAAAAGCAGCAGGUUAAUACCCCGCUGUUCUGACGGUACCCAAAGAAUAAGCACCGGCUAACUUCGUG
rnacentral:rRNA from 1 species